UGAAGCCCCGGUAAACGGCGGCCGUAACUAUAACGGUCCUAAGGUAGCGAAAUUCCUUGUCGGGCAAGUUCCGACCUGCACGAAUGGUGUAACCAUGGCCACGCUGUCUCCACCCGAGACUCAGUGAAAUCGAAAUCGCUGUGAAGAUGCAGUGUACCCGCGGCUAGACGGAAAGACCCCGUGAACCUUUACUAUAGCUUGACACUGAACAUUGAGUCUGUCUGUGUAGGAUAGAUGGGAGACUAAGAAGCAUGUACGCCAGUAUGUGUGGAGUCGUUGUUGAAAUACCAUUCUGACAUGCUUGAUGUUCUAACCCUGCGGGGGACAGUGUCUGGUGGGUAGUUUGACUGGGGCGGUCUCCUCCUAAAGGAUAACGGAGGAGCACGAAGGUUGGCUAAUCACGGUCGGACAUCGUGAGGUUAGUGUAAUGGCACAAGCCAGCUUGACUGCGAGACAGACGAGUCGAGCAGAUGCGAAAGCAGGUCAUAGUGAUCCGGUGGUUCUGAAUGGAAGGGCCAUCGCUCAACGGAUAAAAGGUACUCUGGGGAUAACAGGCUGAUACCGCCCAAGAGUUCAUAUCGACGGCGGUGUUUGGCACCUCGAUGUCGGCUCAUCACAUCCUGGGGCUGAAGUUGGUCCCAAGGGUAUGGCUGUUCGCCAUUUAAAGUGGUACGCGAGCUGGGUUCAAAACGUCGUGAGACAGUUUGGUCCCUAUCUGCCGUGGGCGUAGGAAGAUUGAGAGGACUUGCUCCUAGUACGAGAGGACCGGAGUGAACGAACCUCUGGUGUACGGGUUGUCAUGCCAAUGGCACUGCCCGGUAGCUAAGUUCGGAAUCGAUAACCGCUGAAAGCAUCUAAGCGGGAAGCGAGCCUCAAGAUAAGUCUUGCCAAAUAUAGUUUGUAAGGGCCGUUCGAGACCAGGACGUUGAUAGGUGUGAGGUGGAAGAGUCGGAGAGACUUGUAGCUGACACAUACUAAUUACCCGAGAGUCUUAACUAU
rnacentral:rRNA from 1 species